CACAACUCAUUUUUCUCUGGCAGAUUCAAAAGUUUGCUAUGCGGUUUCCAUCAAUCUAUGAAGCAGAGUCAUUUAUCAAUGCUUUGAAGGAGAUUCUGAAAGGUGACAAGGAUCCAGAACCUUUGAAUACCGACUUUGGUUCUGAAAUUUUGUCGCAGUCAGAGUUCAUGUCAACAAUUGGAGGAAUGGGAGGAUACAACUAAGUUCUUAAUCUUAGGCCUUGAUAGAUUGUUAAAUAACCUUUCACUGAUCUGUUUUCUGUUUUCCCGCAUUUGUCUAGAGUAGAUAUAUGCUUCUCCUUACCUAUAUAAAAGUUUUAGUUGACUUAAUUGUUUUGGUGGCAAUUUAUACUGAGACUUGCUGUAUUUGUAGAGCUUGCCUGGAAUUGAGUUUUAUGACUCCAGAUGAUAAUUACAUUCCACAAUUGCCACUAUAUGUGAAUAAUGAGGUGGGUAGACCUUCAGGAUCUCAAGAAACGGCAACACCACCUGGUCACAAAUUUGAAGACAUUCUCCCUGCCUUGCCACCCAGUUUUUCCACACUAGUUCUUUUGUUCUAACCUAAUAUUUGUUCUGAUUUCUAUCGCAACCUAUUUCAUUUAAAUAAAAUCAUAUGUUGCAGCUCAACCAAUUGUUUCAGAGGAAAUUGAGCUCAAAUCGCAAAUUGUGGUACAUAUUUUUGAAUUUUUGCUAAGAUAUUACUUGUUGAUGCUUGAUUAACGUAAUUAUAUUGAUAUGAUGCUCAUUAUAAUAUAAAUUUUCUCUAAGAUGCAAAUAUUUGGAGAGUGCAACUUCUCUACUACUCAUUUGUUGUUCCAUGAUAUUUCUUUCCCUUUGAUGCUGAGGUACAUGGAAGAUUCUUCCUUCCAAGAUAUGUUGGUUAAGGUGGAGAAAGUUAUCAGCGAAUUGGGGGGGUGAUAUGUCCUUCUAGUUUUCCAGGGCAUUGAAAAUGGCAUAACGAGCAGCUUAGCAAGUCUUCCUGCUUACUGAAUACUAAAGCAUGAUGACCUUCACCUCAUAUUGCCCAAAAAAUGUACAGUGAAUUUCUUUCUCUCCUUCCAUUCUUUCUUUACUAUGCACUAUGCAACUGAGUUACUGAUUCAAGGCUAAAUUUUGUCUUAGCAUCUUUUAUUGUUCAGCAAAUAGCUGUCAGAAGAAAGGCAAUGUAUGAUGAUGAUCAGUGUUUAGCUAGUGAAAACAUAUCAAGUGGUUUCUGUUUUAAGAAAUCCUAGUUAAAACAGUGAUCU